rnacentral:rRNA from 1 species
GUGGGGAAUAUUGGACAAUGGGCGAAAGCCUGAUCCAGCCAUGCCGCGUGUGUGAAGAAGGUCUUCGGAUUGUAAAGCACUUUAAGUUGGGAGGAAGGGCAGUAAGUUAAUACCUUGCUGUUUUGACGUUACCAACAGAAUAAGCACCGGCUAACUUCGUGCCAGCAGCCGCGGUAAUACGAAGGGUGCAAGCGUUAAUCGGAAUUACUGGGCGUAAAGCGCGCGUAGGUGGUUCAGCAAGUUGAAGGUGAAAUCCCAGGGCGCAAACUAGUAACGGCCUACAAAACUACUGAGCUAGAGUACGGUAGAGGGUAGUGGAAUUUCCUGUGUAGCGGUGAAAGGCGUAGAUAUAGGAAGGAACACCAGUGGCGAAGGCGACUACCUGGACUGAUACUGACACUGAGGUGCGAAAGCGUGGGGAGCAAACAGGAUUAGAAACCCUAGUAGUCC